GCCUCUGUUGUGGGCCCUGGGGGUUCUCCAUGUCAUCUUCAAAAUCAAACUCACCAUCGAGGGUCCAGCUUGGACCACUACCGGACUGCAUUGCCUGCUUGUGGAGCCAUUGUUGGCAAGCUUUCAGGUGUUGUGCUUGCUGAAACUCCUUCCUACAUUUUGGAAUCCUAAAUGGGCCGGCUGGGUUUGUGGCAUCUUCAUCGACUUCCACAACCGUCCUGUAGACGGAGGCAUUGGUGAGAAGGAAGAAAAAGGCGAGAGUUGCCGAGACGAGGAAGAGCUUGUUCGCCAUUUGUGUAUGUUUUUAACUUUGUUUGUUAUGAUGAGUUUUGGUUUGAGUAAAGAGUGAAGCUGUUAAGUUAAUUUAUAGGUGAGAAUGGAGAUUUGCAUGGCGAUCACGUGUAAUAAUGCAUGCAUUUGUGUGUGCUGUGAGAGAGAAGCUCUUAGGUGUUUGAAGUGAGUGACAAAUGACGAACAAAAACAGUCGUCCGCAUCUGCAUGCUAUGUGUGAUGUGUAGCUCAUGUCCUGGCGUAACAUCUUAUGAACGAUAUUUUUCAAAAAGAAGCUAACUUCAUAAAAUAAAAAACCUUCAGUAAGUGGGAUGACAGUCUAUAUACUUUGGAGGUAGUGCGGGGGCGGUUGAAAAUAUAUAUUGGGAGCUUAAUGAGAAUUCAGUAAUAGUAUAGAAGAUCUAUUGUAUGGUGAAAAUUAAAUGUGUCUCGUAGACUCGUACAAUAUGUAAUAAAUGCAGUAGAGCCUCUAGUGUAUGGACGAAUGUAUGGGUGCAAAUGCAAAUUAUGCAAUUGUACCCACUAUUUUUUCUAAAAAGAAAUAUUUUUUUUUUGGUAAAAUGUUAAAUUGAAAAGAUAUAUUUUCUAAAACAUUGUUAAAAUCUAACAAAAAUAGGCAAAAUUAACCUAGCAACCAGUAUUUUGUUGGUUUGCCCCCUCUGCUUUCACCAUUUUUUUGUUCUUCUUCUUACAUUUACUUCAAUGAAUGUUCAAAUUUAUUUGAUUUAAAACAUUUACUUCUAUGCUUUCUGCCAUUACGUUCACGCCAAAUAGUGUGUACACCACCAGAGCCGAGCCUGCGGACAGUUUUAUUAAAUUUUAUUUUUUUUGAACAAAGUUCGAUAGUUUUGUUUUGUGAUCGCGUCUUCAACGUUUUAUUAAACUUUUGAAUGAAGCCUUCAUGCUUUAUAGGAGCUCCACUAAAAAAUAAUAUAUAUGUAUAUGUAUUUUUAUUUUUGGUAUAAUAACAUAUAAAUAUUAGCUGUGAAAUAAAUACUGAAUGAAAUUUUGAGUUGACAAAAAUGAUAAAAUAUAUUAUUUAUAAACUUUAUAAAAAUAUUAAUUAUCAGGGCCCCGAAAAUCUCAAAAUCGGCUGGACACCACUGCUUGAAACAUGUAUCACAAAAUGAAGAGAAUGGUUAUGUCCCAACCAUCAUCCACCAAGAGUUGAACAAUAUAUAGUAUUAGGUAUUUAGCAUUAUUAAAGAUAUAGAUGAUCAAUGAUAAAGAAAUUUACUACCUUUGCUAUCAAAGUACUGUUUAUAAGUAAAGGCAACAUCAGUAUAUUUGCAGGAAUUUAGUGGAUACAUGAGAUUGACAGAUGCAUGGUGAUCUAAAAGAGUUUGUUAGUAUUUUUGUUUUUUUAGAAAGGAAGAGUUUCCAAGUACUUUUGCAAAAAAUAUAAAAUAAAAGAGUUUAGAAGUAUUUGACUAUACCAGAUUUCAGUCAUUGAUUGAUCCCAGUGGAUGAUUUUUUAUUAUUGGCCCCGAAUGCUUAUAUUAACACUAGUUGUUUGUCCGCGCGAACGAUGAUAUUUAUUUUAUUGAUGGUGUUAAAUCUUUUAUUAAUAUAGCUUAAAAUAUUAGAUGGUUAACUAAUGUGAUAUCUUUAAAAAAUUUGUUUAUAAGUUUCUUGGUAAAAUGUUUUGGGGUUGAUCAACAUGUUUUUUUCCCUUGUGACCAUCAUGUUUGUUUCGUUUUUUGAUAUACAAUAAUUUUAGAGUAGCUGUUUUUCCAUCCCAUAAUUUCAACCACACAAAUGUGGAUCUGCUUCAUUUUUGUUAUAAAUUUUUUUCUAUUUUAAACUUGUUCAAGUGUAAGGUUAUGUCCACCUCAUUUUUUUUGUCGAUGAAAGGAACAUAUCUGUUCAACUGUGAUGACUUCGGUAGCGUAGGAGGUAUAGUGGAAGUUUUUGUGCACGUUAAUGCCGUGGGUGAAGGUGCUGAGUUCUUUUUGGCUCUGCUGCACACUCUGUUUUAUUGUAUGUGGCUCUGUUCAAAUAUAUGAAAUGAUCCAGUUUGGGGAGGGGGGAAGGUUAUGUCCACCUCCUUCACUCUGGUGUAUUUGAUAAACAGCGACAUAACCACCAAGUUCCCAUAAUGCCAUAACAGCCUCUGUACCCAGUUAAACCUCUAAUCACCUCCAAAGCCAUGGAACUAAUCGAAAUAGGAAGCUUUAACUUAUUUUACAGUAAAGCUUAGAAGAGUCAAACCAUCAAAAUCCAAAAAUAAUUACGAAAUCAGCAGAAGAAAAACUAACAUGCUAAAGUCUUUUGAGUAUCGUUGGCAAAUUUGGGAGGUAAAAUCUACACAAUGCAAGUUUAAGGCCUUUUUGUUUUUCAAUCUUCAUCUGAGAUUCUGAGCCCGACUCUUUGGAACUCGACCCAUCUUGUUUACUAUCUUUGAACCUUUUUUUGGGUCGAAUGAUCCUUUCCUCUUAUCUUCUUCGUCCUCACUAUAUUUGCUUUCAUAAUUCACUUCAUUCUCAUCUUCUUGUGAAGCCUCACCCUCAAAAUCAUUGGUUCUUUUCAAAACCUCGACUUUCAGUGAUGUCUUUCGAUCACAACUGAUCCAAGCAUCUCCUAGGUAGAACUCAUAAGCAAAUCAAAUAAUAAGUAUCUUCUGCACGUUUUAGGCAUUUCUUUAUUACCAAUCUUGAUCGGCUUUUAACCUUCUCUAACUUCAUUGUUCUUUGCCUCGACGCCAUAAUAUUUCCGCAAAACAAUCAUUAUAUCAAGAACCAAUAAAGGUUUAUUGAUCUCCUCAGAUUUGCAGUAGCCACUUACCAUAAAAUUAGAAGAUGUGGCAUCAUGAACAACACCAGAAACUUGAGGAAACCAAAUCUUGUUGACCUGACCUGUCCGGAAAACAAUAAACUGUGAAAGAACAUUUCCUAAAAUUUUAAAGGAAAAGUCUUGCCACCAUUGAAAUACCGCCAACCCAUUAAACUGAUAUAGCAUCUAUAAGAGCACCUGUAACGGGGGUACAUGCAGGGUCCUUAGCGUUUAAUCAUAGGUUAGGAGGAUUAUAAUAAUAGUUGUUUGGUUAAUAGGAGUAAGGAUUGAUACGUUAAUAAGGAUUUUUAGGACUUGAUCCUUAGGGUACGUGGCGUGUUUUGAAUGGAUGGAAGGGUUUACGGUUUGGUUACGCGUAAAACAUUGGUUAUACUCGACCGAAGCAGAAAAAAAAAUAGUCCCGACGAAGAAAGGCGAUUGCUCUCGACGAAGCGAAGGCGAAUCCCGCUACGAAAGACGGCGAUUCCCGCGGCGAAAGACGGCGAUUUGUCUCCGUUGGCUGAACAAGGUAAAUCGCACCCUUCUGAUGUAGAUUAAUCGAUAUAGAUUAGUUUGCAUGUUGAAUCGAUCUCGUUUGAAAUUAGGGUUCGAACAUAAUUUGGGGGUUUGUUGCGUUUGUACUUAACGGUUUGAAAACGAUACUGCUUUCAUCGAUUUCGGGUUCUUCUCGUUUGAAAUUAGGGUUUCAAUUCAGAUUUGGGGCUUUUUGCGUUUGUACUAAUCGGUUUGAAAACGAUUUGCGUUUGUACUAAUCGGUUUGAAAACGAUACUGCUAGCAUCGAUUUGGGGUUCUUCUGGUUUGAAAUUAGGGCUUCAAAAGGAUUUGGGGCUUUUUGAGUUUGUAUUAAUUGGUUCGAAAAAUAUCCUUAGCGUUUCUUUCUUGCACAGUUUUGCUAGCUACAACUCAACUAUCUGUUUGAGUGUAUUGAGUUUAUGUGUUUGUUGUUAAGGAUUACAAGUAGAAGUUCAGUUUUCUGUGAGACAUAAAAAAAAGCUUCCUAAUUUGUUCUCUCGGAUGAGCUGCAAGUUUAUGAUCAUGUGUGUGUGUGUGUUGUUAGGAUUUGUUUAGCUCUGUUCUUAAUUUUUUUUUUCAUUCUCUCUUAUGUUUAGCUCUGUUCUUAAUUUUUUUUUUCUUGCAGGUUAACGAAUAUGGGACAAGAUUAUUCAUACAGCCAGCCUUUCUCAUCAUCAGACUCGAUGGACAUUACCUCCCUUCUUCAAGCAGAAGCUUAGUUGUAUGCGGAUGAAGGUCAGAGUAGCUACAAUAAUCCAGAGCCGGUUCAGUACCCACCUCAACCAGAGGCAGAUGAUGGAAUCCCGAGGCUAUGCUACUGUGGUGGUGAGCCUGUUGUUGCAACAUCCUCCACUCAUAAAGAUCCCGGCAGGAGGUACUUCACAUGCGAGAAUGUGGAUGAUGGAGACUGCCACAUCUGGAAAUGGUGGGAUGUUGCGGUCACAGAGGAGAUGAGCGAGUUGCAGAGACAACUUAGGCUGCUUAAGGAUCAAGGCAAUGCGAGUGAGCAUAAGCUUAUGCUGCUAGAGAAGAGUGUGUUUGAGUUAUCUAACCAGAAAUCAGGAGUUACGCUAAUGAGAGUGAGCAGAAGCUGGUGCUGUCUAUUAGUUUUAAUAGGUUCCGUGUUCUUGUUACUGUGUGGUGAGUAUAUCUCCUUGUGCUUUUCGUAGUUCAUUUUUUAAUAUUCUGCGUGGUGAGUUCGUUGACUAUUUUUUCUCUUUCUUUUCAGGAUUAGCUUCAAACGAGAGUGUCUCAAAGAACCAAUGUCAUUACUAACAAGGUACGCCCACUUGAAUAAAAGCAAUUAGUCAUUUAAUGAAGGUGAAUUGAUUUCUACCGUCGUAACUCCUCGGAUUUGAUCGGUUAUAAAUGUUAGCGUUUAGAAAUAGUGAACUGAAGACUCUAGCUUGCUAGGAUUGUACUAACUAGUCGGAUUUGAUUGGUGAUAAAUGCUAGUUCUUUGCUUCCUAUCUUCCUAACUGCUCAGAUUUUAAUUGCUUUAAUUGAAAAAAAAAAUGUAAAUGGCUUACUUAAGACUCUGUGUUGCUAAUAGAGCGACACAACCAUUCUCUAACCAUGGAUAACACCACUGGUUUUGUUAACCUACUUUAUAGUCAAUCUCCAUUUGAAAUUGAUUCAACACAACCUGCUGCCGAGUCCGGUUCGAAGGAGAGGAGGAAAUGGUCACUGAAAGCGGAUCAAAUCCUCAUUGGGGCUUGGCUUAACACAAGUAAAGAUUAUGUGGUCAGCAAUGAGCAAAAAGCUAGUGCUUUUUGGAAGAGGAUUGUUCAAUACUACAACGCGAGCCCUUAUCUGGCUGGGACUAUACCUAGAGAGCUUGGGCAGUGCAAGCAGAGGUGGGCUAGGAUAAAUGAGCAAGUCUGCAAGUUUGUUGGGAGCUAUGACGCGGCUCUUAGGGCACAGAGAAGUGGUCAAAACGAUGAUGAUGUGAUGAGAGCUGCCCAAGAGUUCUUCUUCAACGAUCACGGAGUCAAGUUCAGCAUGGAACAUGCCUGGAGGGAGCUGAGGCAUGACCAGAAAUGGUGCUCCACCUAUGUGACUAAGGACGGUGGGAGUCAAAAGCGCAAACCAGUCCAGGCGGAGGUUGAUAGACAAGCGGAAGUGGGAGAACCAGAGGAAAGACCAGUCGGGGUCAAGGCAGCUAAAGGUGUUACCAAGAAGAAGAAGAGUGCUAGAGAAGAAGAAUUGUCACAGUUACAGGGCGUGUUGGAAGUUAAAGAAAAACUCGCUAGGCAUAAGUUGCUUGAUCGUUUACUCGGGAAAAAAGAGCCUCUAUCUGAGAUGGAGACAUCUCUUAAGCUCAAACUAAUGUCUGAGAUGCUAUAAACUGAUGUUAACCGUAUGUUAAGUUGUGACUGUUGUUUUGUGUACUUGUUUACUAUUAAACUUCGCUCACUCUUGUCUUUUGUGUUGUUGCAGGGUCAUGUGAACGAAGUCACGGGUGCAUUUGGUGUUGUGAAAGUCUUUUGUUGUUUAGCUCAAGUGAAUCAAGUCACGAGAUUCUAUCUAUGUACUAUAAGUAGUUGUCAUUUGCACGUCUUUAGCUAUGUAUCUCUUUCGCUUUGCUUCCUCUUCAUCAGAACUUGUAUCUUCUUGUUUCAGUACAACAAAUUGCUUCUCUUGUAAUAUUUUCGUUUUAGUACAACAAGUUGCUUCUCUUGCUUGGAUUUCUAUCCAACGAUCUCAAGUUCUGAUUCUAUUUAACUACAACUACAUUAUCUAUAGGUAACACUGGUUCUCCUCUUUUAUAUACCGAGAUUGUGUAGUAUCUAAAUCAUUUGUAGUAUAUUCUUCAGUAACUUGUGUAGUAUAUACUUACUAAACUAGAGAAUUAUAUAAUUCAUUUGAGAAACUUUGAAGUUAAUCUGAUCACUAAACUUGUCAAGUAUAUUUGAGAAAUUUUAGUUCCAAAGUUAAUCUGAUCUCAAGUUUUGUUAAAUCAUUUGUAGUAUAUUUUUUUUGUAACAAAACUUUGGAACUAAAAUAUAGAACUAAAAACGUAUUUUUUUUUUGGAACAAAACUUUGGAAUUAAAAUAUACAACUAAAAACCUAUUUUUAAAGGAAGGAUCCCUAAAAAAUGUCAUCCUCUUCAUCCGAUGAAGUCGAAGAAAGACUGGAUGAAUUAUUCGAUGAAAUCGUCGAAGAUACAUACAACGACAUUAUGGAGGGCCAAACCUAUAAGCAAAGGAAACGUGCUUACAUAGAACGAAACCGUGAAGCCGGACACAACCGUUUAUGGAAUGACUAUUUCAGCGAAGAAGCGACAUUCUCGACACAUUUAUUCAGACGUCGUUUCCGCAUGAGUAAGGAAUUAUUCAUGCGUAUUGUCCAUGCCCUCUCAGAGAACGUUCCUUUCUUUCGACAAAGAAGAGAAGCAACCGGGAGGUUGGGCCUGUCUCCACUACAAAAAUGUAUGGCAGCUGUUCGUCUGCUUGCUUAUGGUUCUGGGGCUGACACGGUAGACGAAUAUCUUCGACUUGGAGAAAGCACGGCACUUUCGUGUCUACACCAUUUCACUGAAGGAAUAAUACUGUUAUUUGGAGAUGAGUAUCUACGAAGACCCACACCAGAGGAUCUUCAACGACUCCUCGAUAUUGGAGAGAAGCGCGGGUUUCCCGGGAUGGUAGGAAGCAUUGACUGUAUGCAUUAGGAGUGGAAGAAUUGCCCAACCGCUUGGAAAGGGCAGUACGCACGUGGAUCAGGAAACCCGACAAUUGUCUUAGAGGCUGUGGCUUCACAAAAUCUUUGGAUAUGGCACACCUUUUUUGGUCCUCCAGGUAUCUUAAACGAUAUUAAUGUCCUCGAUCGGUCUCCUAUUUUUGAUGACAUUUUUCAAGGCCGAGCUCCCAGGUUAGAGUAUGUGGUCAACGGACACAUGUAUAAGUUGACUUACUACCUCACAGACGGUAUAUAUCCCAAAUAGUCAACAUUUAUCCAAUCUAUCUCGCACCCUCAAGGUCCUAAAGCAAAGUUAUUUGCUAGAAUUCAAGAAACAACCCGAAAAGAUGUGAAACGGGCGUUUGGAGUAUUACAAGUUCGAUUUGCGAUUGUCAAAAUCCGGCUCUUUCAAUGGACAAAGAAAAGAUAGGGAAGAUUAUGAGAGCAUGUAUCAUACUACACAAUAUGAUUGUCGAAAAUAAACGAGAUGGAUACAUUCAAUUCGAUAUAUCUGAAUUUCAAGAGGGAGACGUCACUAGAAGUUCACGGUGGAUACCGACAGGCCUACAACUAUUGCUAAUAUGCUCGGCAUUCGGGAUGAUGGAUAAGCGUUUACAUCAACGUUUGAAAAAUGAUUUAAUUGAAAAUAUUUAGAACCAAUUUGUUGAUUGUUGGUUAAUAAAUAUUGUAUCUUUAUCUUUAAUAAUGCAAUAAAUAAAAAUUUUAAUUUCACUUUUAUAAAAAAGUUUAUUAUUUUUAUAUUCCUAAGAACUCCAAAUUGGAGAACAUCAUUGGACUAACAAUUCUGAUUAUGAUCCUUAACUAUUCAAAAAAAAGAAAAUAGUUAAUUAAUCCUAAGGACUCCAUUUGCUGGUACACUAUUGCGGGUGCUCUAAACAAUCCAUCAUCGGCAUUUCCUAGAAAUCAGUUCUGAUCUGAAUCUAUAAGAAAUUACAUUGUAAUAAAGGCUAACUUCCUCUCCAAGUGAUGUUUUACCUUUCAUACGGUUGUGUUGCAGUGGAUAUUAAGUUGGGAAGAAAGUAAGUGUGAGGCCAAAGUGGUUUGUUCCGGCUUGCAAUGUUUGAACUUGUUCACCCUCUUCAAGUCAAUCCUUCCUAAGAUUUGCUGUUAAUUUUGACCCGGCUGUUGCUCCGCGGCGAUAUGGAAACAUCCCUUAUAUAUUAAUUGAGGAACAUUUGAAAAGAUGUAACCUCAAUUUUGUAUUAAUUAAAAGAGGCUCCAAUGCAUAGGUGGCACUCAAUUAGGUAGUCAAUUACAUUCAAUUGAAAAAUAAGUAGGUCCACAUUCGAUUUUUAUAUGUUGUUAGAUACAUAAAUUGGUCAAACUAUAUGAUAUAAUGAUAUGAUAUGAUAUUUUCUUUCCUUAAAUAAAACCUACGGAAUUACCAUAAAUGACUAAUAUAUAUAUGACAAUUAAUGAGUUUAAUAAUAAAGAUUUGAUAACAAUGUAUAUCUCCUCCAUCAUUUUUUGUUUAAUUUUAUAUUAUUAAAAUAAAUUAAACAAUCAAAUUAGCUAUAAAAAUAAAAUUUAGAUUUUUUCGUAUAUGUUAUAUUUUGAAUUUUUAAAAACGACAAUAAAUGACUAAAACUAUUAAAAUUAUUAUGUUAAAAAUUAAUGAUCAAUUGUUUUCUAUUGUGACUGGCACGACAACACUCCAGAUCGAGGUGUGAGAACAGAUGCAUUUGGUGUUACAUCAGUAAAUUCAAGACGGAAGCUGCAAUAUUAUGAUCCUUUCAUUCUUGCUUCUCAGGCCGAUCAGGUUUGUUAUAUCAAGUACCCCCGGGUAAGGAACAGAGAUGAUCCAUGGGUUACUGUUACAAGACUCAACCCGAGAGGCCGAGUUCAGGGAAGUUCUGAGCUGGAAGACCCACUACAACCAAGCACAUCCGGCAACUUAAGUGCAGCAGAAGAUUUAGCUGGAGUUGGCCUUGUAGUCGAUUUAACCGACUUUGGAGAGGAAGCCGUCGUUCACGUAGAGGAUGAACCAGUGAUUGGAGAGUUUCACCAAGAUCCAGAUUCAGAUUCAUCUGGUGAUGAUGACUCGGAAACAGACUACCAUUGAAUAUAGAUAUGUGUUUGUUAAACCAUUAUAAAAUAUAAAUUGAUAGAUAUAUUAUAAUUUAUUUUUAAUUUAUUUGUGGCUUUAAACAAAUUUGAAAUGAUUUAAAAAAACAGGUACUAAAAAACAUGUGCAUAUUUGCUUGGAUCAAAAUUUGGCAGCCUUUAUAAUAAAUAUUUUAAGGCAUUUGACAUACGGAAACUCUUUUCAUCUGCUAUCUCUAAUUCAAUAUUUUUUUUAAAUACUGACUGCAUUACUUUCAUCGCAUGAACAACAGCCAGUGUGUUAUCCAACACUUUUAAGCUUUUACGAAAACAUCAUUUUGGAAGCUACAAAUGCUAAUAUUUUGAGACUCUUGACUCUGUUUUAUUUUAAAUUUUGUCAACAGACGACUCUGUCUUAUCUUAGAGUUUUACAUUUCCCGUUCUGAUGAAAACCAUCAUAUUAAAACUUACACAUAAGUCAAAUUAGUGGUUUCAAAUACCGAGUCCGUAAUAUGUAUUUACUGUGUUCGAACGGUUUAAUAUAUCCAUGGAAUAUAUCGUACUAUCUUAUUCACACAACAUUUAUAUUUCGAAUAAGUCAACACAACUGGUGUGUGACAUAACCGCAUAAAAUAAAAUACAUACACCAUAAAUUAUUCUGUCAUAAUUAAUAACUAGAGAUUGACCCGCACGCCCGUGCGGGUGUUAAUUUUUACUUUCUUAUAAAUCGAUAUUUUAUUUUUAUGAUUAGUAUUAUAUAUUUUAUAUGUGUCAUAAUAUAAUUAAUUGCAUAAGUACUUUUAAAUUUCUAUACAUCAUAAUCGAACCUGAAUCAAAUAGAGUAAUAUGAUUACUUUUGGUUAUUUGGUUAUUUUUAGUUUAAUUUGAAUUCAGCAUACCCGAAUUGAAUCGGUUAAUAUUCUUACUUUUCAUAUAAAUAUCCGUACCGGCGUCAAAUACAUUAGUUUUUAGAUAUUUGUAGGUUUGUAUAUAUCAAGACUGAAUUCAUCUGGACCCGAUUCAAAAUACACAUGAAAAUUUUUUAAUACUGAAAUGAAGUCUAGUUUCAAAACUCAAAAAGCAUGAUAACCCAAAGAAAUAACUCGUAACUGAAUAGUUAUCCGAAUGUCCAUGUCUAACCGAUACAUAAGUAAAUUAAAAAAAACAUUUGUUAACCAUUUUGAAUUCUUAUCACAAAUAGAGUGGUUUCAUUCAAAUAUGUCGAAUUAUUAUAGUUAAUAUGUAAAUAAUCCUGGAAAAAUAUUAUAGUAAAUAUAAUUAAUGAGAUAGUUAAAAGUGAGAAAAUGAAUAUAAAAGAUAAAAUAAAAAAAUUGAAAACAAAUAAGUUUUGUUUUUCUUGUCACUAUUAUAUAUCAUAUAUAUGUCAUCAUAUAAUUAAUCAUAUUUUAUAUGUACCAUAAUAUAAGUAAUCAUAUAACUAAUAGUAUUUUAUAUGUACCAUCAUAUAAAUAAUCACAUAUAUUAUAUUUAUAAACCUAAUAUGAAAUAUAAAAACCAUAAUUUAAGUUGGUGUUUUAAUUAAGUUUUGUAUUGUAUUUUUCUUAUAUAUAGUAAAAAUAUUUUUUUAAAUGGUUAUUGGAAAAUAUUUUAGUAAAUUGUUUUUUAAAUAUAUAUAUAUAUAUAUAUUUUUGAAUCAAUUUUUUAUAUAAAUUAGUUUUAAAUUAUUAUUUUGAUUUGAAUUUUGUAUAGUAAUAAUUAAAAGUGAGAAAAAUGAAUGUAAAAGAUAAAAUAAAAAUUGAAAACAAAUAAUUUUUUUUUUGUACUUCUGUAAUAAAUUAUAUUAACUUAUUUAGUAAAUAUAAUAGAUGAAGGGUUAGAAUUGAUUAACAAUAGAAUAAAAAUCUUUUAAAAAAUCAAUUAAGAUAAGUAAGUAUUAUUUUGUACUGCUAUCCAUGUUUCCAAACAAUUCUCAUUUAUACUACUAUCCAAGUUUCCAAACAACUCUCAAAUGUACUUCAGUUUUAAUAAUAUAGAUGAAGCCAAACUAUUGUUUCAUUCUCCAAAAUAUAAUAAAAAUAAUAACUUAAUCCCGCGCAAGGCGCGGGUCUUAUCCUAGUUAUAAGUUAUAACAUCAGAUCUUUAAAAACUGGUCAAAGAAGAAAGUUUUGAAAAAACCUAAUAAGCGAAUCAUUCCAAGAAUUGAUAUUUGUUUCUUUUUGAAGAACCUGCAUCAAAUUUCAUAAAAUAGUCAGCGUAAGAUGAAAGCAAAACCUGAAAACGAAUCACCGAUCUACAGAGACUUUAGGUACUGCCGCUUCCAAUCAAAAUAAGUGGUAUUAGGGGUUGAGACUGGGCCGACAAAAUCACUAUGUGGAGCCUUCUUAGAUCUGAAGCAAAGCAAAUGGUUACUGUAUAUCAAACCAAUAAAAGAAAGUUGAAGAUGAGAGAUGAGGAACUAAAGAGUUACUGGUGUCUUGAUGCAGCUACGAAGACCUGAUUUAUUAAUAUAUAUAGAUUUUGGCCUAUACUGUUCAGUAGACUACUAUCUCAUUGUGAAUAGAUUGAUUCGUUUGGAACAAAAAAAAAAUUCAAUUCUUUUGAUCUUUUUGGCGUAUCCUUCAGUAUCACUUUAUUAUCAAGUAGCAAGAGUAACAACAACAAAAAAACUUCUCUUUUAUUACGGUCUUCAGAGUACUUCUUAUUACAUUGGCCUCGAUCGAUUUUAAAGUACAUUAUUUAUGGAACACACACCAUCACUGCGUAGUGUUAACAUACAUCAACAACCACACUCUUCGCCGUGGUAUAUACACUCCCGAGGGUUUCGUUUGGAAUCUAGUAAGAGGGCCCAGGCAUGGUCUUCUGGAAAGGACAAAUGCUAACUUGCGGGAUGUUGCAAACUUUAGGUAAGUGCGUAGCAGUCUGGUAGAUACGGCUAAUUACUUGCUGCAGCUGCUGUCCCUGCUGUCCCUGUUGUCCUCCUUGUUGUCGAACCUGUUGUUUAACGGCUUUGGAUGCUCCUUUCAAGGUUGGGCAAACGCAGAGUGGCUCUUCCUGGUGAAGCUCGUUGCAGCACUGCUGGAGCAGCGGAGGCCUCUGCUGUGGGCCCUGGGGGUUCUCCAUGUCGUCAUCAAAAUCGAACUCACCGUCAAGGGUCCAGCUAGGACCACUACCGGACUGCAUUGCCUGCUUGUGGAGCCAUUGUUGGCAAGCUCUUAGGUGUUGUGCUUGCUGAAACUCCUUCCUACAUUUUGGAAUCCUAAAUGGGCCGGCUGGGUUUGUGGCAUCUUCAUCGACUUCCACAACCGUCCUGUAGACGGAGGCAUUGGUGAGAAGGAAGAAAAAGGCGAGAGUUGCCGAGACGAGGAAGAGCUUGUUCGCCAUUUGUGUAUGUUUUUAACUUUGUUUGUUAUGAUGAGUUUUGGUUUGAGUAAAGAGUGAAGCUGUUAAGUUAAUUUAUAGGUGAGAAUGGAGAUUUGCAUGGCGAUCACGUGUAAUAAUGCAUGCAUUUGUGUGUGUGCGCUGUGAGAGAUAAGCUCUUAUGUGUUCGAAGUGAGUGACAAGUCACUAACAAAAACAGUCAUCCGCAUCUGCAUGCUAUGUGUGAAGUGUAGCUCAUGUCCUGGCGUGACAUCUUAUGAACAAUAUUCUUAAAACAGAAUGUACAAACUUAACUUCAAAAAAUUUAAAAAAACCUUCAGUAUGUGGGGUAAGAGUCUAUAUAUACUUUGGAGGUGGUGCGGGGGCGGUUGAAAAUAUAUAUUGGGAGCUUAAUCAGAAUUCAGAAAUAGUAAAGAAGAUCUAUGUCAUGGUGGAAACUAAAUGUGUCUCGUAUAAUAUCUAACUAAGUAGUAACCCGCGUUUUGCGCGGGAUUAGAUAUCUAAUAAUAUGUUGAUUGUAUAUAUUAUGAUUAUGUACAACAUAUAAGGUGUAGCUCAAUCUCUAUAAUAUUAUUUGAGAAGUCACUUUCCUAUGUGUCGCUUCCACAUUAAUUAUCAGGAUGGUUGAUUAUACUGAUACCCUUAAUGAAUUUAAAAUAUUAAAUACUAUUAUUUAUUUAUUUUAUUUAGCUUGCUUUUAAAAAAUUUCCAAAAACAUAUACACAUAAUAAAAAGGAAUUUUUAAUAAAGUUAAAAAACGAAUUGAAAAACGAAAGAUCUCUAUAAUAUAACUAGAGUCGGCCCGCCCGAGUAUACUUUUCUUAUGAUUUAAGUUACUAUUUUUAUAUGAUUUUGUGCUUUGUGUUUUGGGUUUGCAUUUGCAAGAAAUGUGUAUAUAAUGAUUUAUGUCUUUAAAAAAGUUUUAGAUGAGAAAAGAUUAUACGUGGUAAGAUAUAUUUUACUUGUUUACAAUAAUUGUUUCUAUAUUAAAGAGUUAUGGCAUUAAUAUAUUGUGAGGGCUUCAAAUGGACGAUUUCAUAUUCGAUGUCAAAAUGGUUUAUUUUUUUCUAAUAUUAAUUCUUGUAUAGAUUAAGUAAAUAUUUUCUUAUUUAAUCUCAUACUCAUCGAUCUAAAUUGAACGGUUAUGGGAUAUUUUAAAUUUUUUGUGUUACAAUUGAAAUAAAAAGCAAAGAAAAACACAUUGGUUAAAUAUUUAAUUGGUUUAAAGAGAAUCAUGAACAGCGAUCCUUCGGAAAAAUAUUAAUUGUAUGUUUUCUAUCUCCUUUUAGAAUUUUUUUUGUCUUUUUAACUUUCUAUAUUGUUACCUCUGUAUACUUUAUAACAUUUAAUUUCUGCAAUUACUUCUUUAAAUACUUAACAUGCAGAUUUUAAUACUUUACUAUGACAUUUCCAUUUCUUUUUUUUUUUACUACAGUUAAUAGUUCUACAAAUAUAAUCACAGCUACAUCAUUCACAAUUUACAUAUUGUAAAAUAUGUAUAUAACUCUGUCAAAACAAUUUUCGUAUACUUAAAUAACUUCAUCCACUGCCACUUUCAAGCUCUCAGAGUUACAAAUCUGAAUUGAUCAUGGGUCUUAAGAUGGAGAGCAAAGCAAACCUGCAAAUAUCGCAGAAAGUUGUUAUGCCGCAGAGAACCACAUAAACCUGUAUACCCUAGUAAUAUAUUUAUAUAUAUGUUGAUAUAUAUAUAUAUAUAUAUAUAUAUAUGAUUUCAUAAAAAAAAGUUCACAAAAUAGUAAUAUUACAUUUAAAAAAUAUUUUUAAUUAACAUAAAAUAUACUUUUGAAAUAAGAAAAUACUUUAUUUAUAUCUAUAUUUUCUUAGAUGAAAAAUAUAAAUUUGUAUAUAAUGUGAUUUCAUUAAAAAUAUUUACACAGAUAAUCUUGAUAUUAGAAACAUAAAUAAUAUUUCUUUUAAAACAUAAUUUUAAACAAUACAAAAAAAAGUUCAAAGUAAUAGAAUUUUUUUUAUAUAUCCAUCUAUUUUCUUAGAUGACUAGGGGACUAGGUAAUAAUCCGCGCGAGCCUUGCGAGGAAUAUGAUUAUUAGUUUCGUUAUUUUUAAUAAAAAGACAUUAAAUCAGUUUAAUCUGGAUAUUAGUUCGGUAUUAAGUUUUUUUUCGUUUUUAAUCUUCUAAAAUAUAACUAUUAUUUUAAAUUAAUAUUCAUUUUAGUAUAUUCGGUUAAAAUAUUUGAAUUUUGGUUUUUUUUCCGGUAAAAACCAAAAUUAAUAUUAUUUAUUUAUUUUCAUGUUAUAAAUUUUAGAUAGUCGUCAUGUCGAACCAAUAGUUUCUAAACAGAUAAUAGUUUAAGAAAAAGAAAAGAAAAUUAUUAAGACAAAUCAUUUCACUACAAUUUGGUCGGUAGUGAAAGAAGCAUUAAGAAAUAAUAUUUCAACUUUUAAAAAAAUUAGAUACUUCAUUUGUGGUGAAUACUUAGUUACAAGGUAUUCACAUCAAGGUGCACAUAUAUGUGUAUGUAAAAAGUAUAUAAAAAUAGUUGACAAAUAUAUAAAUAUAUUGUUAAUUAAUAUUAAAUGAUAUUUUUUUUUCAUAAUAAUUAUGGGUGGGCGUUCGGAUACCCAUUCGGGCUCAGUUUGGAUCUAUUCGCGUUUCGGGUUUUCGGUUUAAAGAUUUCAGCCCCAUUCGGGUAUUUCUAAAUUUCGGUUCGGAUCCUUGCGGGUUCGGUUCGGAUUCGGAUAACCCAUUUAAAUUAUUUUUAAAAUUUUAAUAUUCAUUUUAUGCUUAAAAUUUCUCAAAAUCUAUAAAACAAAAUAAUAUAUUACAUAGAAUUUGUAUAAUAUAUGUCAAAAUAUCUAAAAUUUACAUAUAAAUUGGUUUGAUUUGAAUAUUUUGAUACAAAAUCAAUUGAUAUUUUAAGUAUUUUGGUGCUUUGAAUAUAUUUUAGCUAUUUUAGACAUUUACUUUUGACUAUUUAUGUAUAUUUUCAAGUUUUUUAGACAACUUAAAAAUAUCUUAUAUAUUUUAGAUGUGUUUAAUAUAUAUAUUAAAUCUAAAAAUAAGUAAUAUAUUUAGGUAUAUAAAUCUAUUUCGGUUAUGUUUGGGUACCCGAGAUAUUUCGGUUCGGGUCGGGUUCGGUUUCGAUUCUUUAGAUACCAAAAUAUUGAACCUGUUCGGAUAUUUAAUCAAUUUUGGUUCGGGUUCGGUACUACUUUUUCAGAUCGGGUUCGGUUCAGUUCUUCGGAUCCGGGUUUUUUGCCCAGCCCUAAUAAUAAUACAUGAAAGAUAAAAUUAAAAUUAAUUUAAAAUAAAAAAGGCUUUGACAUUAUUCAUUUUUUAUAUAUAAAGAAAAUAAAUUUGUAUCCGUAAACAGGGGUGGAUACAGAUCAAAUAUCUGGGUAUUUGGAAGCAUUCGUGUCGAUUCGAUCUUUAGCCACCUAGAUAUUUAGUGACUCGGAUAACCGAAAUGUUUUAGAAUUUUUAAAAAUAUAAUAAAUUUAAUUCAUAAAAAAUAUUGUAAAACUGAUAUAAAGUAUAAUAUAUAUAACGUAUAUAUAUAAUUUUUUACAUAUAUGUAUAUAUAGAUAUGCAUAUAACAUAUCGAACUAGAUAUAUGUUCCUAAAAAUAUUGGUAUUUGUGAUUUGCUUCUUUUUUGGAUAUUGUAUUUUAGUAUUUGAUUUGUUUCGUAGUGUUACAGAUAUCCAGAUUUUUUGGUUCAAAUCAAAACAUAUAACGAAUCAAAUCAAAAUUUAUGAAUAUUUUGCUCAAUUUUAUCCGUAAACAAUAAAAAUAAUAUAUAUAUAGUUUAGCUUUUGAUUCGUUAUCUAUUUUUAUUCAAACAAAAAAAUCCAGAGUUUUAUUGAAACUAUGUAUGUGAGUUUUAUAUUAAAAAAAUCGCAAAAUACAUAGUGUGAAUACAUUUAUGAAUAUAAUGUGAACGCGUUAACAUACUUAUUAUCAAAUCAUUGUAAGACUGUCACGUGUCUAGUGUGGAUACAUUUAUUGCAAUGCUUUUUUUUUAAUAUAUAAGGGAUAAAUGCACUAGUGCCUCUUGUGUAACUGUAACCAGGGACGAAUGUGAUGCAGCUCAAUCUCUGAUCGCACACAAUCAACACGAGACUGCCAAGGUUCACGACUCUCUUCCAUAUAGGAAUUUCCUUUUAUAUUAAAGUCGGUUUUAACUUUCCUUUUUAGGUGUUUUCGUUUUCCUUUUAGAAAGAGGAGUUAACUAAUCCUCCUAUAGGUUUAUGUUUUUCGUUUCUAGUAUUUAAAGGGUCCUAAUCAAGCUUGUAAGGUCACGAUUGGUUAAUAUUGAAUACAUCUUUAGAGUUUUUAAAAAGCUUUAACAAGCGCUGCGAAGAGUAUUCGCGUCCUAUUAUCCUUGUGUCCGAGUUACCUUCAAGAACAUGUUACCAAUCUAGUGAUCAAACCCUUGAUCCCUAGGUUUCCUAGCUUCCGCUCUCCAUCAGAAUAUAUAGGUGCACUUGUAGUCUUGUACCCACUAUUUUUUCUAAAAAGAAAUAUUUUCUAAAAAAAUGUUAAAAUCUAACAAAAAUGGGCAAAACUAACCUAGCAACCAGUAUUUUGUUGGUUUGCCUCCUCUGCUUUCACCAUUUUAUUUGUUCUUCUCUUUACAUUUACUUCAAUCAAUGUUAAAUUUAUUUGAUUUAAAAGAAUUUAUAAAAUGGAUGCAACACUAACUAGGCCUAGUAAAAUAAUCAUGUUGAAUUUUCGAAGGGCAUGCUGAUGUUGUUCUCUAUGCUUUCCUCCAUUACGUUUACGCCAAAUAGUGUACACCACUAGAGUCGGGCAUGUAGACAGUAUUAUAAAAAAAAUUGAAUGGAACACCCACUUUACAAGAGCCCUACUACAAAAAUUGUAUAUAUGUAUUUAUAUUUUUGAUAUAAUAACAUAGAUAUAUUAACUGUAAAAUAUUGAUAAAAAAUUUAGUUGAUAAAAAUAUAUUAAAUGAUCUAUACUAUUAUUUGCGAAGUAAUUUUUAGCAACGAAACUCUCACGUUGAAAGUUAGAGUUGUUAAUAUCUAUAUUACUCUUAAUGAAUUUUAUGUAUAUAUAUUAAUUAUAUAAUCAAAAACGAAUUUUGAUUAAUAAUGUCUUAUAUAUUAAAAGAGAAGUCACAACCUUGAUUCAUGUGUGAUUUUUUUAAAAAUGGACUAUCACUAGAAAGAAGUUAUGUUUCAUUUAUUUCUUAGUAACAUUUUGCUAUAAUUAAUUAAUCACAUAAUAAUAAUCGACUAUUAUAACAACUUUUUCCUAUAAAGCCGGCUCCGUUUAUGAAAACAUUUUAACCGAUAAAUCACCUAAUAUAUGUCGAUUUGGAGCUGUGCUUUACGCUCUUGUAUGCCCUAAACCUCCACCCACUGCGACUCCUUAGCAAGUUAAACUCUUUAAAGAAAUAACCUGUCCUUCAGUACUGCGUAAGAGAUCUUCUAUCAAAAGAAAAAUUGUUAGCGAAGCUCAGAAAACGUUUUGUAUCUCUCAUGCUAAUCAGUAUGUUGAAGCUGGAACUUACUUGCGUGUGCACGUUUAACCAAAACGUUCCCCAAGGUACACUGUUAGAAAACUGUUUGAAAAUUGGAAAGCUUUGGUGAUAAUAUUCACUGCACACAUGAUGGAUUGUAUCAGGUAUUAUGAAAUUGACUGGAAGUCGCGGAUUAUUGCUGUGACUGACUCUUCUUAUGUCGUUUUGGAUAAACUUGCCGGGACUACGGUACUUUUAUUCAUCCAUUGCACUAUCUCUUCUCAAUGUUCUUGACCACUGUAGUUUCACUAGAGAUCUUUAAAGAACUUUCUCUUGUGAAUAUUGUUAGUCUCAGUUUUAUACAUUUUGGGAUUGUACCAGAAUGUAUUUUUGUGUUCUAUUUCUUGGUAAUGAGGAUCGAAAAACAAUUCAUUCGAUCUUAAAACUUUAGAUACUAAAAAGCCAGGGUUCUCAGUGAUUCAGUGUGCUGACCCACAUGACCACAAUAAUUCAGUUUCUCAGGUUGGGGAAACCACAGAUAAUAUCGAAGAGAGCUGUGCGACAUUUUCCUUAUGUGCAUUAGAUUCCGCAGAACCACUGAAACAACACAUCAGAUUGAUAACUGCACAAAAGGCUGUACUUUCCCUUUUAAAACUUUUCUGCUUCAUACUUUUGCAGAUUUUUUUACUAAAAUUUGUAGAUUUAACUUCUUGAAAUGACCAGGUCGCAUUGCUUUUUUACUUUCUCUGUAGUAUAAUCUUUGCUAGGACAAAAGAGUAUUGAUCGGUCUUCCUCACAGAAAUACGAGUGAGUUUGCUUUGCUUCUAUUUCGUUUGACUGGAAAAUCAAGAAGACAUGGUGAAAUAUUUCAUUAUUUUCUAUAUGUUUUUACUUCUUUUCAAGAAUAAGGAGGUGAGGAAACUUCGUCGUGCUGUUGAGUCUUGAUACGGCCGUUGUAGUUCGAACUCUAACGGUCUAACCUAUGAUAAGUGGAAUAAAUCCUUGAUUUGUUUAUAGUUAUGAGUUUGGUUUUGCUGUGUACUUGGUCAUUUCAUAGCUCAGACCCAACAUAUAUACCCUCUCAUCCGACCACCAAAUAAUAUCCCAUCCAACCCAACACCUACAAUACAAUAUUAAGCUUCUUGAAUUAAGUCCUACUUAUUGAGUAACUAGCCUCUCUAUUUUGACUUGGGGUGCAUUGAACAACUCUGAUUAGUUAUUUCUUCAAAAUGAUUCUCAAUAUUUGUCUAUUGUGUAAUAUUUUAACUCGGUGUUUCUUAUAUUUUUAAAUUAAAAUAAAUUUAAAAAUAAAAUUUAUUAAUAUUGUAGAUUUUAUUAUUUUACCAAGUUUUAAUAGAAAUUUUAUUUAAUUAAGCAUUAUUAUUAAAAUUAAAAAUAAUUUUGCUUAUUUUAAAAUAUAUUUAAGAAUAUAUAUAGUUCUAUAUUAAAAAUAAUAAUCUUCGCUAAAAUUUUAUCUAUUUAUUUUGGUUAAAUAUAUUAAAUCAACCUUUUUUUUUGAAUUAAAUCAACCUUUAUAAAACUAAUAAAAUGAUAUACAAUUGUAUAAUUAUCAAAAAUAAAACUAAACAAUAUUUAUAAAGAAAACUUAGAUAUUAUAAAAGAAACUAAUGAUAUUACGAUUAAAUUUUGCUUAAAAUAAUAUAGAACGUUUUAAAAAAAUUAGUAAUAAAAAUUGUAUAAUUAUAAAAAUAGAAUAAAUCAUCUUUAGAAAUUUAGAAAAUCAUAUCUGAAUAUAUUUAUUUUAACAAUGAUGUAUGAAUUAUUACCAUAUUUUGAUAUACGAGUUAUUAUUAUAUUCUAAAAAUUUCAAUAUUUUAAUACAUUAGUAAUACGUUAAAUAUUUUAAUAUUAUAAUAUAUAUCACGAAUGUUGCAAAAAAAAUGUUUACGUAAUGGAAAUAAAUACCCGCGCUGUUGCGCGGGUCAAGAUCUAGUUAACUUGUUAAAACAAUAAGAUAAUUCUUAUAUAUUAUGUUGUUAUCUUAAAACAUAUGUUUCAAUUAUAAAUUUUAAAAAUAAAAUAUAAAACAAAGUUAGAGUGGUUAAUAUCUAUAUUACCCUUAAUGAAUUUUAUGUAUAUAUAUUAAUUAUAUAAUCAAAAACGAAUUUUGAUUAAUAAUAUUAACUUUUUAAAACAAUAAGAUAAUUCUUAUAUAUUGUGUUGUUAUCUUAAAACAUAUUCUUAUAUAUAUAUGUUUUAUUUUAAAAAAUAUAUAAAACAAUUAAUAAAUUUUAAUUAAACAUAUAUAUUUAAUUAACUUUGUUAUAUAUAUUUAUGUUUUAUUUAAUUUUUUGAAAACAUAAAUAAUAAGUUAUUAUGCUGAUUUUGAAUUAAAAAAAAUAAACUAAUAAAUAGUUGUAAAACGAUUAAGCCUGCAUAUGCGGGCAAGACACUUAGUUUUGUUAUUAUUAUUGUAGUUUAGAUAUAAAUAAGUAAUAUACUACAAAAUUAUGUUUUUGUAAACAAAAUUUUAUUUAUAAAUUUUACAAAAAAAUUAAAUAAUUAAUAAAUAUUUUUUCGAAUAAAGUCGCGGAAAUCGUUUUUUUAAAAGAAAUCUUAAGACCCACCACUCCGUGAAAGGAUGCAACUAACAAAGAGGGAGGGUCAGCUGACCCCACAAAAUAAUUAUUAAACAUUAAAGAUAAAUUUAAUUAUACAACUAAAAUAUUUAUACAUUUUUAUCUUUAAAACUUAAGAUAUGUUAGUUUUAAUCUCAUUUUUUUAUAGUUAAAAAAAAUUAUAACGCUGAUAUAAGAAAAAAAAAAUUCUGAUCUGGUAUAAAAUAUUUCGGGCUCCGGCGGACUGCAUGAAACAUGUAUUGCAAUGUAAAGAGAAUGGUAAUGUCCCAACCAUCAUCCACCAAGAAGAGUUGAACAAUAUAUAGUAUCCCAGCGGUUAGAGUAUUUAGCAUUUAUUAAAAGUUAUAGAUGAUCAAUGGUACAGAAAUUUACUACCUUUGCUAUCAAAGUACUGUUUAUAAGUAAAGGCAACAUCAGUAAUUAAUAUUUGCAGGAAUUUACAGAUGCAUGGUGAUCAAAAAGAGUUUCGAAGUAUCUGAUCAUACCAGAUUAAUUUGAGUCAUUGGUUGAUCCCAGUGGAUAAUCUUUUAUUAUUGGCCUCGAAGGCUUUAAUUAACAUUUAGUCUAUUCUGUUCAUUGGACUACUUGUGAAUAGAUUAAUUGUUCUGUUCUUUUUGGCGCAUCCUUAAUUAUCACUUUUUAUGAAGUAGCAAGAGUAACAAAAAUUAAAAAACACCUCUUUUAUUACGGUCUACGAGUAGUUCUUAUUACAUUAGCCGCGAUUUUAAAGUACAUUAUUUAUGGAACACAUACCAUGGCUGCGUAGUGUUAACAUACAUCAACAACCACACCCAUCAUCGUGGUAUAUACACUCAGAGGGUUUCGUUUUGAAUCUAGUAGGAGGGGCCAGGCAUGGUCUUCUGGAAGGGACAAACGCUAACUUGCGGGAUGUUGCAAACUUUAGGUAAGUGAGUAGCGGUCUGGUAGAUUCGGCUAAUUACAUGCUGCAUCUGCUGUCCCUGCAUUUGUCCCUGUUGUCGAACCUGCUGUUUAACGGCUUUGGAUGCUCCUUUCAAGGUUGGGCAAACGCAAAGUGGCUCUUCCUGGUGGAGCUCGUUGCAGCACUGCUGGAGUAGUGGCGGCCUCUGUUGUGGGCCCUGGGGGUUCUCCAUGUCAUCUUCAAAAUCAAACUCACCAUCGAGGGUCCAGCUAGGACCACUACCGGACUGCAUUGCCUGCUUGUGGAGCCAUUGUUGGCAAGCUUUCAGGUGUUGUGCUUGCUGAAACUCCUUCCUACAUUUUGGAAUCCUAAAUGGGCCCGCUGGGUUUGUGGCAUCUUCAUCGACUUCCACAACCGUCCUGUAGACGGAGGCAUUGGUGAGAAGGAAGAAAAAGGCGAGAGUUGCCGAGACGAGGAAGAGCUUGUUCGCCAUUUGUGUAUGUUUUUAACUUUGUUUGUUAUGAUGAG
rnacentral:lncRNA from 1 species